CAGGCCUUGGUGUGGUCAUGCUGGUACUGUUGCUGCCGGGGAUGGUUAGGUUCGUCAUAAACCGGCAGGUUAAACUCCGCCAGGUCUACC
rnacentral:tRNA from 2 species